rnacentral:ncRNA from 17 species
UAUACACAGAUUUUCCGAGUCGUCAUUUCUAAAGCCAAGGCCAUGAAAUGCUGACCAGUGGGCCUUUUGAGAAAUUGGGGGGCCUCCCAUAUUUGGAAAGGAGAAUCUUAAACCACUGG